rnacentral:rRNA from 1 species
GAUGAACGCUGGCGGCGUGCCUAAUACAUGCAAGUCGAGCGAACGGACGAGAAGCUUGCUUCUCUGAUGUUAGCGGCGGACGGGUGAGUAACACGUGGCUAACCUACCUAUAAGACUGGGAUAACUUCGGGAAACCGGAGCUAAUCCCGGAUAAUAUUUUGAACCGCAUGGUUCAAAAGUGAAAGACGGUCUUUCUGUCACUUAUAGAUGGAUCCGCGCUGCAUUAGCUAGUUGGUAAGGUAACGGCUUACCAAGGCAACGAUGCAUAGCCGACCUGAGAGAGUGAUCGGCCACACUGGAGCUGAGACACGGUCCAGACUCCUAGGGGAGGCAGCAGUAGGGAAUCGUCCGCAGUGGGCGAAAGCCUGAAGGGACAACGCCGCGCGAGUGAUGAAGGUCUUCGGAUCGUAAAACCCUGUUAUUGGGGAAGAACAUAUGUGUAAGUAACUGUGCACAUCUUGACGGUACCUAAUCAGAAAGCCACGGCUAACUACGUG